rnacentral:rRNA from 1 species
UCUGAUCUCAAAUCAGGUAGGACUACCCGCUGAACUUAAGCAUAUA